CCUACGGGAGGCAGCAGUGGGGAAUAUUGCACAAUGGGGGGAACCCUGAUGCAGCAACGCCGCGUGGGUGAAGAAGUACUUCGGUAUGUAAAGCCCUGUCAGCAGGGAAGAAAAUGACGGUACCUGACCAAGAAGCCCCGGCUAACUACGUGCCAGCAGCCGCGGUAAUACGUAGGGGGCAAGCGUUAUCCGGAUUUACUGGGUGUAAAGGGAGCGUAGACGGCGAUGCAAGCCAGGAGUGAAAGCCCGGGGCCCAACCCCGGGACUGCUCUUGGAACUGCGUGGCUAGAGUGCAGGAGGGGCAGGCGGAAUUCCUGGUGUAGCGGUGAAAUGCGUAGAUAUCAGGAGGAACACCGGUGGCGAAGGCGGCCUGCUGGACUGCAACUGACGUUGAGGCCCGAAAGCGUGGGGAGCAAACAGGAUUAGAUACCCCAGUAGUC
rnacentral:rRNA from 1 species